GACGAACCGUGCAAACGUUGUUCGGAAUCACUGGGCUUAAAGGGCGCGUAGGCGGGCUCGCCAGUCAGGGGUGAAAGCCUCCAGCUCAACUGGAGAAGUGCCUUUGAUACUGCGGGUCUCGAGGGAGGUAGGGGCGUGCGGAACUUCCGGUGGAGCGGUGAAAUGCGUAGAUAUCGUAAGGAAGACCAGUGGCGAAGGCGGGUCUCUGGACAGUUCCUGACGCUGAGGCGCGAAAGCUAGGGGAGCAAACGGG
rnacentral:rRNA from 1 species